CCCGCUGAACUUAAGCAUAUCAAUAAGCGGAGGAAAAGAAACUAACAAGGAUUCCCCUAGUAACUGCGAGUGAAGCGGGAAAAGCUCAAAUUUAAAAUCUGGCGGCCCUCUGGGCCGUCCGAGUUGUAAUCUGGAGAAGCGUUUUCCGCGUCGGACCGUGUACAAGUCUUCUGGAACGGAGCGUCAUAGAGGGUGAGAAUCCCGUCUCUGACACGGACCGCCGAUGCUUUAUGUGAUACGCUCUCGAAGAGUCGAGUUGUUUGGGAAUGCAGCUCAAAAUGGGUGGUAAAUUCCAUCUAAAGCUAAAUAUUGGCGAGAGACCGAUAGCGAACAAGUACCGUGAGGGAAAGAUGAAAAGCACUUUGGAAAGAGAGUUAAACAGUACGUGAAAUUGUUGAAAGGGAAACGUUUGAAGUCAGUCGCGUCGGCCGAGACUCAACCUUGCCAUCUCGGCUCGGUGCAUUUCUCGGUUGACGGGUCAGCAUCAAUUUCAGGCGUCGGAUAAAGGCUGAGGGAACGUGGCAUCCUUCGGGGUGUGUUAUAGCCCUCGGUUCGCAUACGACGAUCGGGAUUGAGGAACUCAGCACGCCUUCAUUGGUCGGGGCUUCGGCUCACGUUUAACGUGCUUAGGAUGCUGGCGUAAUGGCUUUAAGCGACCCGUCUUGAAACACGG
rnacentral:rRNA from 1 species